CCUACGGGGGGCAGCAGUAGGGAAUAUUGCUCAAUGGGGGAAACCCUGAAGCAGCAACGCCGCGUGGAGGACGAAGGUGCUCGGAUUGUAAACUCCUUUUGUUCGAGAACAUAAUGACGGUAUCUAACGAAUAAGCACCGGCUAACUCCGUGCCAGCAGCCGCGGUAAUGCGGCGGGUGCAAGGGUUACUCGGAAUCACUUGGCGUAAAGCGCGCGUAGGCGGGAUAGAAAGUCAGAUGUGAAAUCCUAUGGCUUCAACAUAGAACUGCAUUUGAAACUGGUAUUCUAGAGUAUGGGAGAGGUAGGUGGAAUGCUUGGUGUAGGGGUAAAAUCCGUAGAGAUCAAGAGGAAUACUCAUUGCGAAGGCGACCUGCUAGAACCUAACUGACGCUGAUGCGCGAAAGCGUGGGGAGCAAACAGGAUUAGAUACCCGUGUAGUC
rnacentral:rRNA from 1 species